rnacentral:lncRNA from 13 species
AUGGUCAAACACAUCACGGGGUGGAGUGCCUUCUUCUCCUAUUACAGAUAUGGCUGCUACUGUGGGCUUGGGAGCAAAGGGAUCCCUGUGGAUGACACUGACAGAUGCUGCCGGGCACAUGACUGUCGCUACGAGAAGCCGAAGGAGUCCGGCCGCCAGCCUGUGCUGAAUGGCUACAGUUCCACACCGUCAAUGGCACCGUGGUUUAAAAUGAAAUGCUUCCAAGUGCUUGGAAGGAGGCAAUCCUGAGCUGCUUCCUGAUGCUGCAGAGCUUCUCCGAAUGUCCAUGCUCAUCUUGCCCUGGCCCUCCCGCCCGUGAAUGUAUCUCCUACACUCUCUGGGGGCCCAGAGCCCGGUAGAUAGUACAUGCUCCAUAAAUACUUGCUCACUUGGGCUUACACUGAAUGUUGAAGCUUCCCUUGACAACUGUUACUGUUGAGAACAUGUUUCCUUGUUUCUGUCAUGUGUUAACAAAACGACUCAGCUGUCCUCCAGUUGGACAAAUAUUUAUUAAGGACGACUGCAUCUCAAGCACCAGGAUAGGUGCUGCCAGGGCCACCAAAGCAAAUAGGUAAGAAGAGCAGGGGGACUCACAUGUUACUGAGACCACUCAAGGACAAGGGCAAGUGGGCAGAGUGCCCUGCAAGUGGGGGGUGGCCUUGGCAUCCAGAUUGUGUUCUGGGGCUGGUAGGGUAUGGGUAUGUGCAGGGUAAUCCUGGGCUAGACAGCAGGCACAUUCAGAGGCACCCAGUGGUGGCCUUUGGUGAGGACCAUCCUUUCCAGCAGAGCAGGGAGGGUCCUGGGGUCCCAGGCUGGGAGGGUGAAGAGCACUGAAUAAACACGUGGCCCGUUACA